rnacentral:rRNA from 1 species
AGGAUGAACGCUGGCGGCGUGCCUAACACAUGCAAGUCGAACGUCCUGUCUCGCAAGAGGCAGGGAGUGGCGGACGGGUGAGUACCACGUGGGUUAUCUACCGUGAGGUGAGGAAUACCGGCGAGAAAUCGCCGACAAGACCGCAUAGCCUCGGUGCAAGCCGAGGAAAGCUUUCUCGAGAGAGGGAGCGCCACACGAGGAGCCUGCGCCCGAUUAGCUAGCUGGUGGAGUAACGGUUCACCAGGGCGACGAUCGGUAGCUGGUCUGAGAGGACGAUCAGCCACACUGGGAUUGAGAACGGCCCAGACUCCUACGGGGGGCAGCAGUGAGGAAUUUUCGUCAAUGGGGGCAACCCUGAACGAGCAACGCCGCGUGCAGGAAGAAGGUUUUCGGAUCGUAAACUGCUUUUCUCGGGAAGAGAAUGGACGGUACCCGAGGAAUCAGCCCCGGCUAACUACGUGCCAGCAGCCGC